CUUAUCGUCGUCUGCUGUAACUAGCCAGAGAAGGGUGUUCAUUGUUUAGUGGCGCCAGGUGGCGACAUGUGAAUACUCGUGGGAGCUCCCAAAAGAUGCUCUCUGGCACAAGGUGAUAGGUACGACCACGCGGCUGUU
ensembl:ncRNA ZC190.16 ncRNA